CCUACGGGUGGCAGCAGUGAGGAAUAUUGGUCAAUGGGCGCGAGCCUGAACCAGCCAAGUCGCGUGAGGGAUGACGGUCCUACGGAUUGUAAACCUCUUUUGCCGGGGAGCAAGCGUGCGUUCGUGAACGCGCGUCGAGAGUACCCGGAGAAAAAGCAUCGGCUAACUCCGUGCCAGCAGCCGCGGUAAUACGGAGGAUGCGAGCGUUAUCCGGAUUUAUUGGGUUUAAAGGGUGCGUAGGCGGGAGGCCAAGUCAGCGGUAAAAAUGCGGUGCUCAACGCCGUCGAGCCGUUGAAACUGGCGUUCUUGAGUGGGCGAGAAGUAUGCGGAAUGCGUGGUGUAGCGGUGAAAUGCAUAGAUAUCUGGAGGAACAUCAGUGGCGAAGGCGACUAUCUGGCACAUAACUGACGCUGAGGAGCGAAAGCGUGGGUAGCAAACAGGAUUAGAUACCCGGGUAGUC
rnacentral:rRNA from 1 species